rnacentral:rRNA from 1 species
AGGAAUAUUGGUCAAUGGGCGCGAGCCUGAACCAGCCAAGUAGCGUGAAGGAUGAAGGUCCUACGGAUUGUAAACUUCUUUUAUAAGGGAAUAAAGUCAUCUACGUGUAGGUGUUUGUAUGUACCUUAUGAAUAAGCAUCGGCUAACUCCGUGCCAGCAGCCGCGGUAAUACGGAGGAUGCGAGCGUUAUCCGGAUUUAUUGGGUUUAAAGGGAGCGUAGACGGGUCGUUAAGUCAGCUGUGAAAGUUUGGGGCUCAACCUUAAAAUUGCAGUUGAUACUGGCGUCCUUGAGUACGGUUGAGGCAGGCGGAAUUCGUGGUGUAGCGGUGAAAUGCUUAGAUAUCACGAAGAACCCCGAUUGCGAAGGCAGCCUGCUAAACCGCCACUGACGUUGAGGCUCGAAAGUGUGGGUAUCAAACAGGAUUAGAUACCCUGGUAGUCCACACGGUAAACGAUGAAUACUCGCUGUUUGCGAUAUACUGCAAGCGGCCAAGCGAAAGCGUUAAGUAUUCCACCUGGGGAGUACGCCGGCAACGGUGAAACUCAAAGGAAUUGACGGGGGCCCGCACAAGCGGAGGAACAUGUGGUUUAAUUCGAUGAUACGCGAGGAACCUUACCCGGGCUUAAAUUGCAGAUGAAUUACGGUGAAAGCCGUAAGCCGCAAGGCAUCUGUGAAGGUGCUGCAUGGUUGUCGUCAGCUCGUGCCGUGAGGUGUCGGCUUAAGUGCCAUAACGAGCGCAACCCUUGUUGUCAGUUACUAACAGGUUCCGCUGAGGACUCUGACAAGACUGCCAUCGUAAGAUGUGAGGAAGGUGGGGAUGACGUCAAAUCAGCACGGCCCUUACGUCCGGGGCUACACACGUGUUACAAUGGGGGGUACAGAGGGCCGCUACCACGCGAGUGGAUGCCAAUCCCCAAAACCUCUCUCAGUUCGGACUGGAGUCUGCAACCCGACUCCACGAAGCUGGAUUCGCUAGUAAUCGCGCAUCAGCCACGGCGCGGUGAAUACGUUCCCG